UGCUGCUUUGUCCCGAUAUUGGUGAUGUUCGUUUGGAUCAUAAGGGUAUCGCAUUAAAUUCAUAAGCUGAGAAGACUCGACAACUUGUACAGGCACUUCGAAGUAGCUGUGACUCUGGGAAUCCAGGCGGAUAUUGGGACCAAUUCAAGAGGCUCUGAGAGUGGCAUCCUGGGGGACGCAAGCACCACGUAGGUUCUCAGCCAGCCCAGAGUCCCUCCUUAUGGCAUGUGCUUCUGGCUCCUGUUUCCUGGCUUUCCAAGAGCGCUGUCACUGGAUAGCCUGCUGGAGACUUUGGUGAGUUACUCUGGAAACCUACAUAAUAUUUCUAUUUAAACAGAAAAAUCCAUCUUUUAAAUAAGGUGAUACAGUUUUAAAGUACGUUUAUUGUUUUCCUUCCUUUUACCUUUCUGUUUCAUAAAAG
rnacentral:lncRNA from 1 species